rnacentral:rRNA from 1 species
AGAGUUUGAUCCUGGCUCAGGAUGAACAUUGGCGGCAUGCUUAACACAUGCAAGUCGCACGCUCCGCAAGGAGAGUGGCGUACGGGUGCGUAACACGUAGGUCAUCUGCCCAGAAGUGGGGAAUAACCGCGAGAAAUCGUGGCUAAUACCGCAUGAGCUUGGCAACAAGGAAAGCAGCAAUGCGCUUUUGGAGGAGCCUGCGGCCCAUCAGGUAGUUGGUGUGGUAACGGCGCACCAAGCCGACGACGGGUAGGGGACCUGAGAGGGUGACCCCCCACACUGGGACUGAGACACGGCCCAGACUCCUACGGGAGGCAGCAGUGAGGAAUAUUGCUCAAUGGGCGCAAGCCUGAAGCAGCGACGCCGCGUGGGCGAUGAAGGUUUUCGGAUCGUAAAGCCCUUUUGCAGGUGACGAGGAAGGACGGUAGCCUGCGAAGAAGUGUCGGCUAACUACGUGCCAGCAGCCGCGGUAAUAC